rnacentral:tRNA from 1 species
CCGCGAUGUAGUCGAUGCGAUUAUCGCUGGUGGCGGUAUGGUCGGUGGAUUAGGCGAGCGCUAUACCCGCGUCGCCGCC